GACGAACGCUGGCGGCGUGCUUAACACAUGCAAGUCGAACGGAAAGGCCCUGCUUGCCGGGUGCUCGAGUGGCGAACGGGUGAGUAACACGUGGGUGAUCUGCCCCUUACUUUGGGAUAAGCCUGGGAAACUGGGUCUAAUACUGGAUAGGACCAUGCUGUAGGUGGUGUGGUGGAAAGAUUAGUUUCGGUAAGGGAUGAGCUCGCGGCCUAUCAGCUUGUUGGUGGGGUAAUGGCCUACCAAGGCGUCGACAGGUAGCCGGCCUGAGAGGGUGGACGGCCACAUUGGGACUGAGAUACGGCCCAGACGCCUACGGGAGGCAGCAGUGGGGAAUAUUGCACAAUGGGCGCAAGCCUGAUGCAGCGACGCCGCGUGGGGGAUGACGGCCUUCGGGUUGUAAACUCCUUUCAGCCAUGACGAAGCCCUUGUGGUGACGGUAGUGGUAGAAGAAGCACCGGCUAACUACGUG
rnacentral:rRNA from 1 species